GGGUGGGUUUGAAAAGGACCGAGACACAAGCUGACUCAGGGAAAAGAUGAAAGACAAGACACAGGGUCAUGAAUGGCUCCAUCUUGAAGCAGUAAGGAAGAUUGAAGCAUCGAGGUGAAUGUGGUAGGGGUCAGUGACGGCUCCCAAAGAGAUGGUCAUCAGCUGGACCAGCAUGUUUGGCUGUGGAUCAGCAAAGAAUUUCAGGUGGUGACGAGAGGGCGUACAGGAGUGAGAUGAGCCAACUAGUGGAAUGGCGCCCAGUAACAACCUGGCACUCAAUGUCAGUAAGACAAAAGAGCUGAUUGUGGACUUCAGGAAAGGAUUGGGUGGCGGGGUGGAGAUACGCCUCUACCAAAAGAGGUGCAAGACACUUCCUCCCUCCGCUAGCCUGCAGGUCACCCUCCGCAAGGUGUAGCACCUGCUUAGCUCCCAAUCAGGGUCACAUGAAGUCACGGGAGCAGAUGGUGGAUGGUCGUAUGAGCAGCUGGUGCAAAUCACAAAUCCUGGUUAUGCGACCACUGACACCAGGCAGACAAUCUCUGAAGAGUAUUGAUAAUGGCUGGGGUCACCCGUCUUGUAAAGACACUGCCCAGAAGAAGGCAAUGGCAAACCACUUCUGUGCAAUAAUUUGCCAAGAACAAUCAUGGUCGUGGAAAGAUCAUGAUCACCCAUGUCAUAAGACACAGCACAUGAUGAUGACGAUGAUGAUUUGUAUUUAUAUUUAUUAUUUUUUAUGUGCAUUGGAUCCGGAGUAACAAUCUUUUUUUUCUCUGCUUUACACUCAUGUACCGAAGAAUGACAAUAAACAAUCUUCAAUCUUG